rnacentral:rRNA from 1 species
AUUGAACGCUGGCGGCAGGCCUAACACAUGCAAGUCGAGCGGCAGCGGAAAGUAGCUUGCUACUUUGCCCGGCGAGCGGCGGUCGGGUGAGUAAUGUCUGGGAAACUGCCUGAUGGAGGGGGAUAACUACUGGAAACGGUAGCUAAUACCGCAUGACCUCGAAAGAGCAAAGUGGGGGAUCUUCGGACCUCACGCCAUCGGAUGUGCCCAGAUGGGAUUAGCUAGUAGGUGAGGUAAUGGCUCACCUAGGCGACGAUCCCUAGCUGGUCUGAGAGGAUGACCAGCCACACUGGAACUGAGACACGGUCCAGACUCCUACGGGAGGCAGCAGUGGGGAAUAUUGCACAAUGGGCGCAAGCCUGAUGCAGCCAUGCCGCGUGUGUGAAGAAGGCCUUAGGGUUGUAAAGCACUUUCAGCGAGGAGGAAGGCAUCACACUUAAUACGUGUGGUGAUUGACGUUACUCGCAGAAGAAGCACCGGCUAACUCCGUGCCAGCAGCCGCGGUAAUACGGAGGGUGCAAGCGUUAAUCGGAAUUACUGGGCGUAAAGCGCACGCAGGCGGUUUGUUAAGUCAGAUGUGAAAUCCCCGCGCUUAACGUGGGAACUGCAUUUGAAACUGGCAAGCUAGAGUCUUGUAGAGGGGGGUAGAAUUCCAGGUGUAGCGGUGAAAUGCGUAGAGAUCUGGAGGAAUACCGGUGGCGAAGGCGGCCCCCUGGACAAAGACUGACGCUCAGGUGCGAAAGCGUGGGGAGCAAACAGG